rnacentral:rRNA from 1 species
AUGCACGCUGGCGGCGUGCCUAAUACAUGCAAGUCGAGCGAACGGACGAGAAGCUUGCUUCUCUGAUGCUCGCGGCGGACGGGUGAGUAACACGUGGAUAACCUACCUAUAAGACUGGGAUAACUUCGGGAAACCGGAGCUAAUACCGGAUAAUAUUUUGAACCGCAUGGUUCCAAAGUAAAAGACGGUCUUGCUGUCACUUAUAGAUGGAUCCGCGCUGCAUUAGCUAGUUGGUAAGGUAACGGCUUACCAAGGCAACGAUGCAUAGCCGACCUGAGAGGGUGAUCGGCCACACUGGAACUGAGACACGGUCCAGACUCCUACGGGAGGCAGCAGUAGGGAAUCUUCCGCAAUGGGCGAAAGCCUGACGGAGCAACGCCGCGUGAGUGAUGAAGGUCUUCGGAUCGUAAAACUCUGUUAUUAGGGAAGAACAUAUGUGUAAGUAACUGUGCACAUCUUGACGGUACCUAAUCAGAAAGCCACGGCUAACUACGUG